rnacentral:lncRNA from 1 species
CUUCCCAACUCAGAGACCAUGCCAUCCAAAGAUUAUCCACCAUCAUUAACACAAGACAUGCACUUUGUCUUCAGGGAGCAUCUGGGAGGGGAGGGUUUGCUGGGCGCGCGGCGGCGGCUGAGGAUGGAAGAAGGAGGGUCCGAGCGCACAGGGGCAUGGCGGCCAAUCCCCCAGAUCCCCCGGGGUACCCAUUAGUUCUGUUUCCUGCUCUCUCCUAGGCUGGUUUUGUCUAGUUUAGGUGGAGGGCCUCUUGGUGAGGCCUCUAACUUUUGUUAGGGGUUCUUCCCUUAAUGCACGCGGCCUCGAGACUGCGUAGACUUUUCUUUUCUUUUCUUUCUCUUUG